GAGGAAAGUUUGAUUUUUGAGCAGGACGCCUAAAACAGAUGUUAAGUCUUUGCGGAAAAAGACUGUAGUGCGGGUUUCUAACGGCGAAGUGUGAUGAAAUGCGAUUACAAAUACUCUUGGCCAGGGCUGCCCGCUCGGCGCUGGCCAGGUACUUCUGCCGGUGGAAGCGCUUCUCCAGCUCGCAGAUCUGAACUCUGGAGAAGGACGUGCGGGGCUUUUUCCGUUUGGGCGGUGUCCGGUUCUGGUACGGGUGUCCUAUCCGCCGCGUAACGGCGAACGGCACCAGAGCUGCUGCAGGGAACAGAGAGACACACACCGAAUGAAGGCAGUCCCUCCAGCCUGUAGUACAGCAGACGGGGCCCCACUGGUUGCAGAUGUUGGGUGUUAGUAAUCCGUUGUAAUCCAAUGAUUAUGAGUGAUUAUGACACAUUAGCUCUGACCUACCGAGAUACCACCGUGACACCGGUUAUCCACAACCCACCAGGAGAAACCCCAACCCGCCUCCAGCCAGCCUUUCUGAAUUUAUUGAUAGUCUGAUUGUUAUAGACAGUGUCGGAUCAUUUCAUUGCUUCAUGAUUACAGAAGAAAAUGUAAAAAAAAUAAUUGAUACCAAGAGUCCACUUAGAAAACCCCACACAGCCCCCUGUACAAAGCAGCCUUGAGGUUAUCUCGUUCAGGCCAAAAUAUUUAGCUCGUGUUUCUGAAAAGCCUGCAGCCCACACGAACAAUUAAGAUGCGCAUCAAUCCUCGUUUUUUUCCACAGGCAAUAUAAAAGCUGACACCCUGAUUCCAAAAGUCCAAAAAGAAACGACAACAAAAGAGUGAAAGAGUGCGAUUUGUUUGAGAAAUUACCACUUGAUCUGCAUAAUCGGGGGUCUGGGCUGCAGCUCGGUACCCGGGGGCAGCGUUUUUAUUGCGCGUCUCUUCGCCGUUAUCAAUUUCAGCAGCGCGCCUGACUUUUUAAAAGGGGGACGAGGCCGGCUGCUUCUGAAUAAUGAAUGACACGCUUUUAUAUUGUCGCUAAAGUGCCCGUGAUGUUACAAUAUGAAAAGGCAGCGGUAAGUAAUAGUGCAUUUAAAGGGGAUGUAGUGUAUUAUUAUGAUGUAAAAGAGAAGGAGAGAGGCGGUAGAGAGAGAGAGAUGAGUGGAUAGCAGCACCCAGAGAGAGAGAGAUUGUUUUAUUACAAUAAGAGGAGAUGAGUUUGCCUCGCAGCGAAAUGGGGACCAGUUAAUGAAACUUUACCGCAGCUAACGAUUUCCCCUCCCUCACUCUAAAACCCGCCCUUAUGAAAUAUUUAAACUAUUUAAUAUAGGCAGUAUUAAGCUGAAAGACACUGGCAUCGGCCAUCUGACAACAUUUACAAGGCUGUGGAUUUUUAAAGUUGGGUAAACAAAGCUUUAUGGCCCGUUUUCCUUCAGCCCACAUACAACAAAAGUCAUGUAGUAAAUCACGCUCACGUUGAGUGCAAUAUAGAGAAAAUGUGUUUUACUUUUGGGAGACUUGAUUUAGUCUAAUUUACACUUUUCUCCAUAGCAGGCCAUGCAUCUUCUCACACACAGAUGCAGCAGUUUACAGGCUCAUCCUAUCAAUAUAAGCCUGUCUUGUCUGUAAUGGGAGGGAUAGCCUAGCUCGG